UACGGAGGGUGCAAGCGUUAUCCGGAUUCACUGGGUUUAAAGGGUGUGUAGGCGGGCAUGUAAGUCAGUGGUGAAAUCUCCAGGCUCAACCUGGAAACUGCCAUUGAUACUAUAUGUCUUGAAUACUGUUGAGGUUGGCGGAAUAUGUCAUGUAGCGGUGAAAAUGCAUAGAUAUGACAUAGAACACCGAUUGCGAAGGCAGCUAACUAAACAGUCAUUGACGCUGAGGCACGAAAGCGUGGGGGAUCAAAACAGG
rnacentral:rRNA from 1 species